UGGUAUGACUGGUACAUUGGUUUCUCCCUUCUGACGAAGCAUGAUGUCAUUAAUUUGGUGUCGUGGGGAAUCAGGACUGCUACUUUGAAAAAAUUGGAGUGUUUAAAGCAAGCAUUAGCUUGAAUACAUUAGCAUGGAAUAAUGAAAUAGGACGUUUGAUCCUAUUUCGUUGGUUUCUAGGAUCGACGUAAUGAUUAAUAGGGAUAGUUGGGGGCAUUAGUAUUCAAUUGUCAGAGGUGGAAUUCUUGGAUUUAUUGAAGACUAACUACUGCGAAAGCAUUUGCCAAGGAUGUUUUCAUUAAUCAAGAACGAAAGUUAGGGGAUCGAAGACGAUCAGAUACCGUCGUAGUCUUAACCAUAAACUAUGCCGACUAGGGAUCGGAUGAUGUUAAUUUUUUAAUGACUCAUUCGGCGCCUUACG
rnacentral:rRNA from 1 species